GCUGUAAUAUUGGUACUGAUCAAAUUCAGCCACAACCAAAGGAUUACAUCUUUCUUUUUUCCUUAAAUUUGAAGACACCAUUGACAACUCAGAUGACGAAGCAGUGACAGGAAUGAAGUCAACCAAGGCAGAGACUGGUGAAGCUCAUGAUAUCACUGCUAUAAGAAUCAAGGAGGAAUAUCUGGAAGGUAGGACGCCUUUUGUGAGGUUUUCUGAUUCAAUGAGCAGUUGCAGCAGCAUGAUAUUACUGAGGGGCUAUCAGUGCUCUUACUGGGGUCAAUCAAUGAGUUUUGAGUUUAUAAGUGCACAAUGACAGCUGCAUAUUUUUCAAGAAAACAUAAAUACACAUAAAUACAGACAUCUUGAUCUUCAGCUGCAACAUCAAACCAAAAAGUACAUUGUUGUAAGCAUCGCUUAAAAUAUUGAGAUUUUUCCACUUUAUUUCACAUCUCUUGUUAACACUUUCAUCGCUAAAAAAAACAGUGAGAAAGAUCAAGUCUUCAAGCACAUCGACCAGCACAAGUGACAAGACAGCAGAUUGUAUAAUGUUUAUUUUAGUUCUGUUUUUCUGUAAACAAUGACUAAGUCUUUUUCUGUUCAUCUUCCAGUUAUUACAAGUGAAACCUCUGAUGAAUCUGAUGUAGAGAUUGUCAAAAUAAUUCCCAAAUUUACCCAGAAGCGCAAGUUUGUGCGUCAAAGAAAAUCUGUUAAAAGAAAGAUUGAAGGUGAUUUCUUGUCCACAUAUCUGAAGCUUUUUGUUGUAUUAAGGAGAUAUUAUUAAACUGUUCAUCUGUGCAGAUUUUUCAGAUGAUGAACCAUUGAGUAAAGUCUCAAAGAAACAUGAUCCAAAACCUCAGAGACGGACCAAAACAGCAAACCUGCCAAUGAGACCCAGAAGAGAAAGGAGGGCAACAAUGAAAACGGACACCACUGACGACUCAGAUGACGAAGCAGUGACAGGAAUGAAGUCAACCAAGGCAGAGACUGGUGAAGCUCAUGAUUUCACUGCUAUAAGAAUCAAGGAGGAAUAUCUGGAAGAUACCACUGACGACUCAGAUGACGAAGCAGUGACAGAAAUGAAGACAACCAAGGCAGAGACUGGUGAAGCUCAUGAUUUCACUGCUAUAAUAAUCAAGGAGGAAUAUCUGGAAGACACCAUUGACAACUCAGAUGAUGAAGCAGUGACAGGAAUGAAGUCAACCAAGGCAGAGACUAGUGAAGCUCAUGAUUUCACUGCUAUAAGAAUCAAGGAGGAAUAUCUGGAAGACACCAUUGACAACUCAGAUGACGAAGCAGUGACAGGAAUGAAGACAACCAAGGCAGAGACUGGUGAAGCUCAUGAUAUCACUGCUAUAAGAAUCAAGGAGGAAUAUCUGGAAGACACCACUGACAACUCAGAUGACGAAGCAGUGACAGGAAUGAAGACAACCAAGGCAGAGACUGGUGAAGCUCAUGAUUUCACUGCUAUAAGAAUCAAGGAGGAAUAUCUGGAAGACACCACUGACAACUCAGAUGACGAAGCAGUGACAGUAAUGAAGACAACCAAGGCAGAGACUGGUGAAGCUCAUGAUUUCACUGCUAUAAGAAUCAAGGAGGAAUAUCUGGAAGACACCAUUGACAACUCAGAUGACGAAGCAGUGACAGGAAUGAAGUCAACCAAGGCAGAGACUGGUGAAGCUCAUGAUAUCACUGCUAUAAGAAUCAAGGAGGAAUAUCUGGAAGUUAUUACAAGUGAAACCUCUGAUGAAUCUGAUGUAGAGAUUGUCAACAUAAUUCCCAAAUUUACCCAGAAGCGCAAGUUUGUGCGUCAAAGAAAAUCUGUUAAAAGAAAGAUUGAAGAUUUUUCAGAUGAUGAACCAUUGAGUAAAGUCUCAAAGAAACAUGAUCCAAAACCUCAGAGACGGACCAAAACAGCAAACCUGCCAAUGAGACCCAGAAGAGAAAGGAGGGCAACAAUGAAAACGGACACCACUGAUGACUCAGAUGACGAAGCAGUGACAGGAAUAAAGACAACCAAGGCAGAGACUGGUGAAGCUCAUGAUAUCACUGCUAUAAGAAUCAAGGAGGAAUAUCUGGAAGAUACCACUGACGACUCAGAUGACGAAGCAGUGACAGGAAUGAAGUCAACCAAGGCAGAGACUGGUGAAGCUCAUGAUAUCACUGCUAUAAGAAUCAAGGAGGAAUAUCUGGAAGAUACCAUUGACAACUCAGAUGAUCAACCAGCGAGAGAAAUGAUGUCAAACAUUACAGAGACUGGUGAAGCUUAUGAUUACAGAGCUCUAAGAUUAACGGAGGAAUGGAUACAUUUUCGAAUUCCACUGGCAACUCAGAUGACGAAGCAGUGACAGAAAUGAAGUCAACGAAGGCAGAGACUGGUGAAGCCCAUAUCACAGCUCUAAGAAUCACAGAGGAAUGGAUAUAUUUUCUAGUAAGUUAUUAAUCCAGGAGACAACAGACUAUUUGCAUUUUGCUAUUUUUGUACUCUCACCGUGUUACAUUAAAUAUAUUAAAGUUUUUCAAAUCAUCUCUGACCAUUUACUGAUUUAUAUUUCAAUUUGUUACCAAGCUAUCCAUCUGGAAAGGAUGGAUGGCUUCAGAUCAUCUUGAUCAAGGAAACUUUGGCACGCACAUGCCAGUGUGAAUUCUACAGACAAGAACAUUCCAUAGCUGCUUUAAAACUACAUUUUGCUUUUUUCAUGUGAAUUUUCAAUUCACCAAAUCCAUUUUGUUAGAAAUAUUUGAAAUGCAAUACCUACAGAGAACAUCCAGGGUCUCCAAGAAGCCCUUAAACUCCUUCAGCCCUAUAUAUUUUUCCGAGGCGUCAUCGCUAAUUCAUAAAUCCAAGACCACCAAGUGUCUUUUAGAUCCCAUCCCAACACACCUGUUGAAGGAUGUUCUACCAUUGAUAGGCAGUUCUAUCCUGGACCAGAUCAAUGGUUCUUUAGUGACAGGUUAUGUACCCUGGUCCUACAAGGUGGCAGUGAUUAAGCCGUUGCUUAAAAAAACAUCACUGGAUCCUGACGUAUUAGCAAAUUAUAGGCCAAUAUCCAACCUUCCUUUUAUCUCUAAAGUUCUUGAGAAGGUGGUGAUGACUCAGUUACUGGAGCACCUGCAGAGGAACAGCCUGUUUGACAUGUUUCAGUCAGGCUUUAGAGCUCAUCACAGCACAGAAACAGCACUUCUUAAAGUUACUAAUGAUCUCCUCAUAGCUUCAGAUCAUGGACUGGUCUCUAUGCUGGUUCUGCUGGACCUCAGUGCUGCUUUUGAUACAGUCUAUCACAGCAUCCUGUUACAGAGACUGGAACAUGUGAUUGGGAUUAAAGGGACAGCACUAGACUGGUUUAGAUCAUAUUUAUCUGAUAGAUACCAGUUUGCUCAUGUCCAUGGGGUUCCCUCUUCAUACAGUAGGGUUAGCCAUGGAGUUCCUCAAGGUUCUGUACUCGGACCAAUCCUCUUCACAUUGUACAUGCUUCCCUUAGGGAACAUUAUUCGACAGCAUGGGAUACAUUUUCAUUGUUAUGCUGAUGACACUCAGCUUUAUUUAUCUAUGAAACCAGAGGAGACAGAGAAGUUAGUGAAGCUUCAGACCUGUCUUAAAGACAUAAAGUCUUGGAUGUCUUCAAAUUUCCUCCUCCUUAACUCAGGAAAAACAGAGGUCAUGGUGUUUGGUCCUGAACCUCUCAGGGAU
rnacentral:lncRNA from 1 species